UACCUAGAAUAUUUUUUGAAAAAAAUAGCAUUAUUUAUCAGUUGUCCUUCUGCCGAAGUAUUUAUAGUUUACCGUAUAUACGGAGUAUUGUCUGUUAUGUGAAACUUUGCGGCUGGGUCAAAGGAAUCGUCGUUUCUUGCCACUGGAGAAAAAACGUCCCAUCUCCAUUUGUCCAUUAUCAGUGCGUGCGGCAUUUGCGGCAGUUUCCCCAGUGCCUGUUUGAGCAGCAGUGGCAGAUCUACGUCAGGUGAAUUAUUAAGGAUCAAACGUACCCAAUAAGUGGGCGGGAAUAGGUCCUCUUAGAUCAAUCAGACCAGGAUAAACUUCAGCCAGACGAAACCUGACAACAGCAUGAAGAAGUCGAUAAAGUGGUUCCACGCUUUGGUACAGUUGAUCCACCAGUGUUUCCAGGUGAGGACUCUCAAGUUCCUCGCGCCAGCACUCACCCAGGUCGUGAUAUCCUGCGGCAGGAUCUGGUUAAGGGUGACAACGCAAAGGAUUGGCAAUCUAAUGUAAUGUUUUUCCUUUAUUUACCUGGAAGUCGACAUGAGUCUCUCCAGUUCCGGUUCGCCGUUAUAACAUUUCUCUUGGUUCUCCUCGAUUCUGCAGACCGUAGCUGUCACGUAGCUCGUAGACAGCUCUUUGAAGAUGGCCGUGAGUGCCCUGCAACGUCACUGGUUCCAUUAGCGAGUGUCCUCUGCACAACAACUCAAGCAUCCUACUUCCUGCAGGUCCCACGUGGAUCCUAGGUGUCUUCGCGCACCAGAAAUUCCUCCAAGUGGUCUUAAGGUGAGACAACUUCGUAGUUUCCUGCGACACUUCCGGGGAUGGUGAAGUGGCCUCCAGCCAUUCAAGAUCAGCACUCGCGCGAUUCAGCAACAUCAGUUCUGCGUUCAUCCGUCUCAAUAGAAGAGCAGACAAAUCUUCCUUGUUUGCUGGAAAGAAUUAUGCACUGUAGACUUGAACAAUGCAUCGCAGAGGACGCAGAGGACCCCACUCGAAACAAUUGCUUUUAUCAGGAAGCUCUCGCUGGUUGGAUUUUGCGCGCUGUCUUCUAUCCCACCGGACUACUGUGACUCUCUUUUCACGGACCUGGUGGGGAUGUCUUUCAGUGCCAAGAGGAAUCAUCUUUAUGAAAUGAGAGAUGAGGCUGCUGAUUAUUAGGAGAAUUCUAAAAACCGGCCUCAUACUUACUGACUCCUGUUAAUGGGAUUGCUGAUCAACACCGGAAUUAAUAGGUUGAUAAAGAGAGAAUGUCUAUAGCAGACUACCUCCGACAAUCGAAGCAAUUUAAUUAUGUUUCCAUGGGGCUGAGCCAGGAUCAGGAUAAAUUGAAAGGAUCCUUAAGAGCCCUUCGGCUCUCCCAUAUUACGUGAACUGUCUUGAAGCCUUCCACCUGCGACUCUCUUCAACGAGAAAGUAUAAAAGUCGAAAAAAGAAAGAGAAAAACGGGUGCUUGAUUAACAAGGGCUCAGGGAUGCUGUUCAGACACAGGGAUAAAAAAUAUAUGAGGAAGCAGCACUUGCCAGAGGACGGGAAGCCCAUACAUAAGGCAAGGCUCUCUAGCGAGAAUUAUCAGGAAUUAUAGCAGGUGCUCAACAGGGCCGUCCGGUGAAAUUGUCUGGAACUAAAAAAAUACAUUCAACGAAAAUGCCAUUUUUGGAGGCUUGGGAUUGUAGGGCAGAGAAGAACAGGAAGGUCCACCACACUACGGUUUUAGGCGAUACCAAAAUCAUGGCACUAAAUCGUAGCGGCGAAUCGGGAAGUAGAAUUUUGUGAUCAUCGCCUCCGUCGACAAUGCGAAUCCCGUCGUAGCCGAGCUAAACGUGAACAAGAACGUGUAGCUUGGCGGGCAGAGGUUCUCCGCUACUCACCGCUGGAUCCCAAAGCAACCUUAGAACGUGACCGGAAAUUAUAGAACUUCUCAAGAACUAUUGAAAAAGAGUAUUGUUGAAACAUUUUUAAGACAUUUAAAAAAAAGUGCAGUGCCAACAUGACACCCGUGU